rnacentral:rRNA from 1 species
UACAGAGGUCUCAAGCGUUGUUCGGAUUCAUUGGGCGUAAAGGGCGCGCAGGUGGUUCUGUAUGUCUACCGUGAAAGCGUACGGCUCAACCGUAUUUUGUCGGUAGAAACUGCAGGACUUGAGGCUGGGAGGGGCUGGUGGAAUUCCCUGUGUAGCGGUGAAAUGCGUAGAGAUGGGGGAGAACACUCGUGGCGAAGGCGGCCAGCUAGACCAGUUCUGACACUGAGGCGCGACAGCGUGGGGAGCAAACAGG